rnacentral:rRNA from 1 species
UAAGGAAUAUUGGUUAAUGGACGCAAGUCUGAACCAGCCAUGCCGCGUGAAGGAUGAAGGUCCUCUGGAUUGUAAACUUCUUUUAUCUGGGACGAAAACGGGAUUUUUAUCUCAAUUGACGGUACCAGAGGAAUAAGCACCGGCUAACUCCGUGCCAGCAGCCGCGGUAAUACGGAGGGUGCGAGCGUUAUCCGGAUUUACUGGGUUUAAAGGGUGCGUAGGUGGGCUAAUAAGUCAGUGGUGAAAGCCUGCAGCUUAACUGCAGAAUUGCCAGUGAUACUGCUAGGCUUGAGUACGGUUGAGGUAGGCGGAAUGUGUCAUGUAGCGGUGAAAUGCUUAGAUAUGACACAGAACACCGAUUGCGAAGGCAGCUUGCUAAGCUGUAACUGACGCUGAGGCACGAAAGCGUGG